GCGUAUAGCUCAGCUGGGAGAGCAUCUGCCUUACAAGCAGAGGGUCGUAGGUUCGAGCCCUGCUACGCCC
rnacentral:tRNA from 1 species